GGCGCUGGCUCCUCCAGGGACUUUUCGAUGUCUCGGAGAUCCAACGCUUUGCAUUUACACCGGAGAGAAGAUUUGGUCUUCCAUGCCGGUCCACCGUCUAACGUUCUACCUCUCUCAAGAUACCGGCUGUUUUGCUGAGAAUCACCCAAAGGAAGGAUUUUGUUCUGUAGAAUCUUGCAACCAAUGGAGACCAGGACCCAAAUCCUGCUUUUUCUACCCUUAUCCAUGUUCUUCUGGAUCCCGGGGAGUUUCACGCUGCUAGAAGCAGACGGAGGCUGGCGGACCAACAGGCACGCCGCGUUGCCAGAAGAUGGGAGUUGCACAGUGGAGAGAAGGGACGCCUCCCUCACUUAUGCACAGUUUAUUCAACAGUUAAGUGACGGGAGCAGUGCGGGGGCAGCCUAGAGGUGGAGCUCUGGCCUCACUGUGAGGCUGUGGGUUCGAUCCCAGGUUGAGGCUGAUCUUUCUCU